CUUAUAAUCAUGACUUCUGUAUCUCAUAAUUAAAGUCAGAAUUGACUGAUUUUAAUCUCAGAAUUCUGACCUCCGUCGGAAUUCCUAGUUUACUUUAGAGUCAGAAUUCUGGCUACACACUACACCGGCAUAAAUAUCCAACAAUGCAAUGCAGUAGUGAGGAUGACAACAAUAACAUUACAGACAAUGGCGGACAGUGACCGAGGCAGCUCUAGCGUAACAUCAAUAAUGCUUCAAUUCAAGGUUUGGCCGCCAUGUCAAAUUUGCUUCAAAGCCCGGUGCUCUUCAUGGAUGUAUUAUCGUCUGUGUUCAGAUUUCUCUGAGUUAUGACUCAAACGAUGAGUAGCCUACGAGUUUUUACGCAAAUCGUGGCUCACGUCUCACUCCUAUCAAAAGGUGAAGGGCAUCUCAUAUAUAUUGUAUGACUCAAACUUUUGUUUUAAGAUAACAUGCAUACAUACAAUUGUGUUUAUAUAUGCAUCUUCUCUGAUAAUUUGAUGUUGAUGUUAUUUUCAUAGUACCACUCCAGUAAUGAAUUAAAUUAGGUUUUUUUGUCCUCACUUGUAUCUUGUUAUCAAACUCACUAAUGCCAUGUCAUCACAGCUUAUUUAUGUGUGUUCACAACCCAGAGGAUGACCAUUAGUGGUUGAAAUGUUGUCAUGUCCAUGUAGAAUCAUAAGAACUGGGAACAAGGUUGCAGAGUGCGAGUACUUUUCAUUCUUUUUUAUUAAAUGACUGACCAUAAUAUUUCCAAGGAGACUGUCUAAUGCCACAUCAACUUAUUUUGCUUCCUUCAGUCAACAAGUUCUCCUAACUCCUAAUUACAUACAUUAAAAAAGAAUACAUUUUCACUGGUUCUGAUUGAUUACACAUAUUCCUGUUGCUGGGCAUUUAUGUAUGUAAUUGAGCACUGUAUGUUCUAAACUGUACUAUAUGUACAUAAAUGAUUCCAAAUCCAGCAAUGCACAGAGAGUCUUUAUUAAUUCAGUCUGUUAAGUCAAUGCUCUUAGGAGGAGUUAAUCAAAAAGCUUAUUUUUGAGUGGAGAGUUUAUUUAUCAUGUCAUCCAAGAGUAGAGAUGAAAAGCUCCUGCUUGCUGCAGCAAGUGCAGUAUAUUGCCUCUGUCUUCUUUGAUGGUUCGUCACCCAGGGCAUAUAUGCAGCCCAACAAGGACAUCGUCAAUUUUCAACAGCAGAAUUUGUAUAGCAUCCAACAGCAAGUUUGUCUUUUAUGAAAAGUCACCACAAAUACACAGCUUUAAAACAAUUAACUAAAUACUGUUACAGUUUCCAACUUUAUUGUUAUUUAAGUCUCUGGAGAAGUAACCCCAAAGUAUAAGUAAAACACAGAGCAGAGUUCCCCCUGCUAUGUGUGGUAUUCAGUCAGACAUCCUGCCAUUAAAAAUAACAUUAGUCUGGGUUUCAGUGUCCCACAAUUUGAUCUUUUGGAAGAAUAUCUUUCUUGGCAUGCAAACAAUCCAGUAAGACACACUGUAUGCAUAU